rnacentral:rRNA from 1 species
UGACCUCAGAUCAGGCAAGACUACCCGCUGAAUUUAAGCCAUAUUAAUAAGCGGAGGAAAAGAAACUAACAAGGAUUCCCU